GUUUUCAAGCUUCUUCCUCUCUCUCCUUCUUCUCCUCCCUUCCUCUGCUCUUUCCUUCGCCAAUGAUACUUCUUACUUCAUAGAUUGCGGNCUCCAUUAACUCUACUGACCCCUUCAACACUACCUGGCUUUCUGACCGCUUCUUCACCGGCGGCCUCACUUCUGUCGUCUCUGAGCCCCUCCACUUCCGCUUCCCCCAAGAGAAGACCCUUCGCUUUUUCCCUCUCUCUUCUGGCAAGAAGAAUUGCUACAUUAUACCACUCCCUAAUGGCCGUUACUAUAUCCGUACUCUUACCGUCGUAGUUGUCAUAGACGGUAA
rnacentral:misc_RNA from 1 species